UCCCUAGCAGUCCAGUGGUUAGGAUUUGGCACUUUCACUGCCAUGACCCAUGUUCAAUCCCUGGUAAGGGAA
rnacentral:tRNA from 1 species